UACGUAGGGGCAAGCGUUGUCCGGAAUCAUUGGGCGUAAAGAGCGUGUAGGCGGCCCGAUAAGUCCGCUGUGAAAGUCCAGGGCUCAACCCCUGGGAUGCCGGUGGAUACUGUCGGGCUCGAGUCCGGAAGAGGAGUGUGGAAUUCCUGGUGUAGCGGUGAAAUGCGCAGAUAUCAGGAGGAACACCAAUGGCGAAGGCAGCACUCUGGGACGUGACUGACGCUGAGACGCGAAAGCGUGGGGAGCAAACAGG
rnacentral:rRNA from 1 species